UACGGGGGAGCAAGCGUUGUUCGGAUUUACUGGCGUAAAGGGCGCGUAGGCGGCCACCGCAAGUCGACUGUGAAAUCUCCGGGCUUAACCCGGAAAGGUCAGCCGAUACUGCGGGCUAGAGUGCAGAAGGGGCAACUGGAAUUCUCGGUGUAGCGGUGAAAUGCGUAGAUAUCGAGAGGAACACCUGCGGCGAAGGCGGGUUGCUGGGCUGACACUGACGCUGAGGCGCGAAGCUAGGGAGCGAACGGG
rnacentral:rRNA from 1 species